rnacentral:rRNA from 1 species
UGGGGCAUAUUGGACAAUGGGAGCAAGCCUGAUCCAGCCAUGCCGCGUGAGUGAUGAAGGCCCUAGGGUUGUAAAGCUCUUUCGCCAGGGACGAUAAUGACGGUACCUGGAUAAGAAGCCCCGGCUAACUUCGUGCCAGCAGCCGCGGUAAUACGAAGGGGGCUAGCGUUGUUCGGAAUUACUGGGCGUAAAGCGCAUGCAGGCGGAUCGCUAAGUGGGGGGUGAAAGCCGGAGGCUCAACCUCGGAACUGCCUUCGAUACUGGCGAUCUAGAGUGCGGGAGAGGUGAGUGGAACUCCGAGUGUAGAGGUGAAAUUCGUAGAUAUUCGGAAGAACACCAGUGGCGAAGGCGGCUCACUGGCCCGGUACUGACGCUGAGAUGCGAAAGCGUGGGGAGCAAACAGGAUUAGAUACCCCCGUAGUCC